rnacentral:rRNA from 1 species
UGGGGAAUAUUGCACAAUGGGCGCAAGCCUGAUGCAGCCAUGCCGCGUGUGUGAAGAAGGCCUUCGGGUUGUAAAGCACUUUCAGCGGGGAGGAAGGCGGUGAGGUUAAUAACCUCAUCGAUUGACGUUACCCGCAGAAGAAGCACCGGCUAACUCCGUGCCAGCAGCCGCGGUAAUACGGAGGGUGCAAGCGUUAAUCGGAAUUACUGGGCGUAAAGCGCACGCAGGCGGUCUGUCAAGUCGGAUGUGAAAUCCCCGGGCUCAACCUGGGAACUGCAUUCGAAACUGGCAGGCUAGAGUCUUGUAGAGGGGGGUAGAAUUCCAGGUGUAGCGGUGAAAUGCGUAGAGAUCUGGAGGAAUACCGGUGGCGAAGGCGGCCCCCUGGACGAAGACUGACGCUCAGGUGCGAAAGCGGGGGGAGCAAACAGG